rnacentral:rRNA from 1 species
UACGGAGGGGGCUAGCGUUGUUCGGAAUUACUGGGCGUAAAGCGCACGUAGGCGGCUUUGUAAGUUAGAGGUGAAAGCCCGGAGCUCAACUCCGGAAUUGCCUUAAGACUGCAUCGCUUGAAUCAUGGAGAGGUGAGUGGAAUUCCGAGUGUAGAGGUGAAAUUCGUAGAUAUUCGGAAGAACACCAGUGGCGAAGGCGACUCACUGGACAUGUAUUGACGCUGAGGUGCGAAAGCGUGGGGAGCAAACAGG